AUUCAUUUUAAAAAAAAAAUAAUUUAGUUCUAACAGUAUAUUAAAUAUUUAAAAAAAAUUGAAUUUUAAGUUGCAUAUUUAGAGUUAUUAAAAAAAGUGUAGAUUUAAUGUGAAAAUAUUAAAAAUUUGUGUAUAAAUUAAAAAGAUUCAUAAGAAAAUCUCAAAAUUACACUCACUAAAUAAAAUUCUUUUUAUAAAUAUCAUUUUAAAUAAAUAUUUUUAUUAAAAACUAAAAAAAAAACAAUUUUUCCAAAAUCAAUACAAAAGAGAAACAGAUCUCUAGUCAUAUUGUGUCCUCCUUCUCUUCUUGUCAAAUCAAAUCAAAAAAUAUAAGAAUUAUUCAAAUGUUAUAACAUAGUUAUGAACAAAUCUAUAAAAACUGAAAUCAAUUUAAAUAAAUAUAUAUAUAUAUAAAAACAAAAAAAAAAAACAAUAAAAUAAAGUAGAUCUGGAAAAUUCAACAUAACUAUAUUGUUAGCAUCAUCCGCCAUCGUAAUAAUUUUAAAUUACACCAGUAUCACUACUGCUACUAAGCGACAUCUUUACACCAUCUGUUGACCAAACAAAAUAUCAUCAAUUUUCUUUUAUAUUUGGAUAAAAAAAAAUUAAUAAAAAACGAAUUUAAGCUGCAAAAAAAUUUAAUAAUAUAUAGAUGAAAUUCACAACUAUAAAAAAGAAAGAGAUUAUAUUAAUUAAACUAAAUUAAAAAACAAUUUUAACGCAAAAAAAAAAAAGGAAAAUCGUUUUUUGUCCUUGUCACUUAGUUAUUUUAAUAUUAAUAUUGUAUAUUUAAUAAAAAUUCUAUACAAAAAGUGCUAAUAAUUUUUAAAAAGCUUAUAUAAGUGUUCAUUGAUAAUAAAAAUUAUAACGUACAUAAAAAAAUAAUUUAAAUAAAAAAAGUAAGAAUAUAAAGUAAAAUUUCUAAUAAAGAGGUUUGCAAAUGAAGAAAGCAAAAAAUACCGUAAACAAAGAGAAUACGUAAAUAAAUAAAACAAUUUUCACUGAAUAAAGUCGAAUAAAGAAAGAAUAAGCGAAAAAAAACUAAAUUGAAAGAAUAUACAAUAAAAGAAAGAGAAGAAAAUAAUAAAGGAAACUCUAUUUAUGAAGGAAGAUGAAAAAUUUAACAACAGAAUAAAGAAUAAAAAUAAUAAUAAUAAAAAUAUUAAAAGAAGAAAAGGAAAAUUUAAUAAAGAAAAAAUAAUAAAAAUAAUAAAAGUUACAUAAAAUAUUAAUAAAAAUAAAAGAGAAAAUAGAAAAUUCAUAAAGAAGAAAGAAGAUAGAAAAAAACGCAAAGAAGCAACACAAAAAAAAGAAAGGAAAAGCAAAAAAUAAAAGUUACAAAUAAAAAACAAUUUUUUUUUUUCAUUGCAAAAAAAUUUCCCGUCUUUUACCAUUGGAAAAACAAAAAAAAAUUUUUGUUUUUGUUUUUUUUUUCUCGGAAAAUUUGCUUUUCUUUUUGAUUUUGUUUUUUGCCUUACUUCGAUUGUUGCUAUUAUAGAGAACACAUGUGUUCUUUUUAAUUUCGGUUUACAAGUUUUGCUUGAGUUCUGUGUUGUUAUAAGCUAAAAUCUUUAAAGAACAUCUUGUUGUAUAACAAAAACAACAAAAUAAUUGCAGCUUUUGAAAUAACAUUUUGAAAUCAAAUUGUAUUGCAGUAUUUUAUAUGAAAGGAAAAUAUGAUAAAUGUAGCGGCCAUGAUGUCCUGCCCCAUUCCUUUACCAUUGCCUAGACUUCCAUCAACAUUACAUGGUGAUUUUCCACCAGUUCACAUAGGAGUUAAGGUAAGCCUAAACGAUUAAAAGUAAUACAACAUAAAUUUAUAUGGUCGAAUGGCAAAAAAAGAAAAAGAAGAUCGUCCUCUUGAUUUAAAAUUAUUCAACGCCUAAUUUUAUAAGAGCUAACAAGACAUCAAAAAACUAGACAGCAGUCGUUCAUUUGGAAUAAUAAUCUUUGGCAUAUUGCCAAAAAUUAUAUAUAUGUACGUUAUUAAUAUUUUUAUAUAUUACUAUAAAAAAUUAUUCGAUUUACAAUUUAAAUUAUUCUCUAUUUAUCUGCCUUCAUCUGCACUUUCUUAUUUCAUUUUUCUCAGUAUACGCUCAUAUUGU